CAACAUUCUACAUGAACUGGUUGUUGGUAUUCUAAGUUCCAACCCCACAGCUACCUGGUAACAGCUGUUUUUUCUCGCUUACUCUUCUCUGCUCUCCUGCCCUCUUCCCUGUCCCUUCUCUCCCCAUCCCCACCUUCCCUCCACAUGCCCAUGGCCGGCCCCUUCUGUGUGAACAGCUGCCCUCCAUGGUUCACCACAUAGUACCAGCUCUUUCCACAUGGGGUCACUUAGGCUCGCACUAACCAUCUUUGAUCUAAUCACUCUCUCUUUUUCACUUCCUGUGGCAUCCCGCUGAGGUAACCUGUCUGGUAAAUGGAAGGACGUUCUUUAUGCCCAAACAUUCAUCUACCUUCGCUCUAAUCGUUCUGUUUCGCUUCCUGUGGCAUCCCGCUGAAGUAACCUGUGUCACGAGUACUGGCUGGUCAGUCCAGCAGGCCACCCCAUCGCCUUGAUGCCCCGCAUGCAGCUGCCUGCCAAGGAGAGCGCCCUCUUCAAGCAGGUGCUGAGCUACCCUGACCUAAAAGACAAACUUGAAAAGCUAGAGAGAGAGCCCCUAACUCCACCGGCAGAAGUUUUGGCGCGGACCUUUAGGGUGUACCAUGGGAAGUGAUGAGAAGGCUCUCAGACUAAAAUAACCAUAUGCUGGACAGCUGUCUGACCAGCCUCAGCCACUGCCUGGAACUCCUGGUCUUCUAAGACUAAGAGACCACCAGUCUCCUGCUACAGAUGUGGCCAACAAGGACAGAGGAACAUCAUGUCCAGAUAACCCUCCAGUGGAUCUCCUAGGAUUGGCUUUGGACAAAUGAAGGGGCCUGAGUUCCCUGGACCUGACCACUGCCAUCACCAGCAGGGAGCCCCCAGGAUCAUGCUGUGUAGCCCACGCUAGUCUCCAACUUUCCAUCUUUUACUCUCAAGGCUCCCCAGAACUGGUAUAUCCAUUGAAAAAUUGAGUGAAUUUAACUAACAAGUUACUUUUUUUGUCUAGUAUUUAUGGUGUGCUGUUAUGUGUAGAUAGAUUUUUAAAAAUAACACAGUAUAGCUCACCCAUUUGAAUGGAAAAGUGGAAACAAUAUUAUUCAAACACUCUGUAACUAGAAUAGAAAGAAAUCUAAUUUUAGCUAUUGUGUAGAAAAUGGGGUGAUUCCAACUACAUUGGUAAAAGAAUAAUUCUUCAAAAAUAAAGGAAUUAAAAAUAUUCAAGGGAAAAAUAUAUCUAGUAUAAGGCAAUUAUGUAGAGAGAUGAUGUUAAUGAGCAUAUAUAGUAAAUGGAAAGGAUCUUGUAGAAGAGGUAGUUAUAGAUUAGAUUUGCAGAAAAGAAAGAACCAGCUUAGAUAGCUUACUUGGCAGACAUAUGCAAUUAAUCCUCUGCUCAAUAUUUAAAUAUUUUUUAAACUAAACUAUUCUUUUGUGCACUUUGGAUAUAGGACCAAGAGGACCCAAGCUAGAUCUGACCUGAAAGCCUCCCUGUGAACUAGUUUUCAUGGUGGCAGGAAAGAUUCCAAAAGAGAGAGGCAACCAAUAGUCCUGUUCAGCUAUAGUGAAUAUGAAGCACAAUUUCUAGCGUGACAUAA